UGACAGAUUGGGUAGAAGAUUUUUACUCAUCAGUGGCGGAAUGCAAAUGAUUACAUGCCAGGCAUGACAUCCAUCAUUAUUAGCAUCUAAAAUAGCCUUAUAACCUCAUAUAAUCAUGAAGGUAAAGUUUGGAGAUAACCAGCAACUAUGGAAAGGCUUCUCAGUGUUGGUUGUAGUUGUGAUUUGCCUGUAUGGUAGCUCUUGGAUGGUCAUGUGGUCAGCUUGGCUGAACGGUUCCAAGUAAAAUACUUCCCCUCGAAACACGAUCAGCUGGGCAG
rnacentral:misc_RNA from 1 species